rnacentral:rRNA from 1 species
ACCAAAUUCUCAACGAUGGAUAUCUUGGUUCCCAUAACGAUGAAGAACGCAGCGAAGUGCGAUAAGCAAUGCGAAUUGCAGAACCGUGAGUCAUCAGAUUUUUGAACGCAACUGGCGCUGGUUGGCUAUCCAACCAGCAUGCUUGUUUCAGUG